CCUACGGGGGGCUGCAGUGGGGAAUAUUGGACAAUGGGCGAAAGCCUGAUCCAGCCAUGCCGCGUGUGUGAAGAAGGCCUUCGGGUUGUAAAGCACUUUCAGUGGGGAAGAAAGCCUUGGGGCUAAUACCCUCGAGGAAGGACAUCACCCACAGAAGAAGCACCGGCUAACUCCGUGCCAGCAGCCGCGGUAAUACGGAGGGUGCGAGCGUUAAUCGGAAUUACUGGGCGUAAAGCGCGCGUAGGCGGUCUGAUAAGCCGGUUGUGAAAGCCCCGGGCUCAACCUGGGAACGGCAUCCGGAACUGUCAGGCUAGAGUGCAGGAGAGGAAGGUAGAAUUCCCGGUGUAGUGGUGAAAUGCGUAGAGAUCGGGAGGAAUACCAGUGGCGAAGGCGGCCUUCUGGACUGACACUGACGCUGAGGUGCGAAAGCGUGGGUAGCAAACAGGAUUAGAUACCCGUGUAGUC
rnacentral:rRNA from 1 species